rnacentral:rRNA from 1 species
UACGUAGGGUGCGAGCGUUGUCCGGAAUUACUGGGCGUAAAGAGCUCGUAGGUGGUUUGUCGCGUUGUCCGUGAAAACUCACAACUCAAUUGUGGGCGUGCGGGCGAUACGGGCAGACUGGAGUACUGCAGGGGAGACUGGAAUUCCUGGUGUAGCGGUGGAAUGCGCAGAUAUCAGGAGGAACACCGGUGGCGAAGGCGGGUCUCUGGGCAGUAACUGACGCUGAGGAGC